CCGCCUGCAAAGUGACUUGAGAGCCCCGCGACGCAGCCUUCUAGAGGAGCAGGGACUUCUCUGGAACACUGGCGUGCGCAGGGAUUAAUCCCACCGUAGAGAGCCAGCCUGGGCUUUGAAGUGUUACAAGGGGAGGGAGGAGUCACAUUGCAGGCCAAGCCAGAUGGGCAAGCAAUACAAGCUGUGAAUUUAUUCUUGACCCCGUAGGACAGUGACCACCAUCAUUUUUUUCUUCACCCUACAGUUAUGCACUGCCAAUAAGAGGUCGUGAGCCAAGGAGGGCUCUGCCUCUGAGCACAGGCAGUCAUAUGGCAGGGUCGCUGCCAAGGGAUGAAGCCACUGCCUUGUGA
rnacentral:lncRNA from 1 species